rnacentral:rRNA from 1 species
CCUACGGGAGGCAGCAGUGGGGAAUAUUGGUCAAUGGGCGCGAGCCUGACCCAGCCACGCCGCGUGAAGGAAGAAGGCUUUAGGGUUUUAAACUUCUUUUAAGAGGGAAGAGCAGAAAGCGGUACCUCUUGAAUAAGCCGCGGCGAACUACGUGCCAGCAGCCGCGGUAAUACGUAGGGGGCCAGCGUUGUCCGGAUUUACUGGGUGUAAAGGGCGUGCAGCCGGGAAGACAAGUCAGAUGUGAAAUCCCGCGGCGCAACCGCGGAACUGCAUUUGAAACUGGUUUUCUUGAGUACCGGAGAGGUCAUCGGAAUUCGUUGUGUAGCGGUGAAAUGCGUAGAUAUAAGGAAGAACACCAGUGGCGAAGGCGGAUGACUGGACGGCAACUGACGGUGAGGCGCGAAAGCGUGGGGAGCAAACAGGAUUAGAUACCCUGGUAGUC